UAGUGAUUAGAGUUUGAUCCUGGCUCAGGACGAACGCUGGCGGCGUGCCUAAUACAUGCAAGUCGAGCGGACCGGACGAGAGCUUGCUCUUGUUUGGUCAGCGGCGGACGGGUGAGUAACACGUGGGCAACCUGCCCGCAAGACCGGGAUAACUCCGGGAAACCGGAGCUAAUACCGGAUAACACCAAAGACCGCAUGGUCUUUGGUUGAAAGGCGGCUUCGGCUGCCACUUGCGGAUGGGCCCGCGGCGCAUUAGCUAGUUGGUGAGGUAACGGCUCACCAAGGCGACGAUGCGUAGCCGGCCUGAGAGGGUGACCGGCCACACUGGGACUGAGACACGGCCCAGACUCCUACGGGAGGCAGCAGUAGGGAAUCUUCCGCAAUGGACGAAAGUCUGACGGAGCGACGCCGCGUGAGCGAAGAAGGCCUUCGGGUCGUAAAGCUCUGUUGUGAGGGACGAAGGAGCGCCGUUUGAAUAAGGCGGCGCGGUGACGGUACCUCACGAGAAAGCCCCGGCUAACUACGUGCCAGCAGCCGCGGUAAUACGUAGGGGGCGAGCGUUAUCCGGAAUUAUUGGGCGUAAAGCGCGCGCAGGCGGUCCUUUAAAGUCUGAUGUGAAAGCCCACGGCUCAACCGUGGAGAGUCAUUGGAAACUGGGGGACUUGAGUGCAGGAGAGGAGAGCGGAAUUCCACGUGUAGCGGUGAAAUGCGUAGAGAUGUGGAGGAACGCCAGUGGCGAAGGCGGCUCUCUGGCCUGUAACUGACGCUGAGGCGCGAAAGCGUGGGGAGCAAACAGGAUUAGAUACCCUGGUAGUCCACGCCGUAAACGAUGAGUGCUAAGUGUUAGAGGGGUCACACCCUUUAGUGCUGUAGCUAACGCGAUAAGCAC
rnacentral:rRNA from 1 species